AAAUGUUCAAUCGGAAUCUCCCUUCUUGCAACUUGAAGCCAUUGGUUCGAGUCCUACCCUCCAGAAAAAGAGAAAACAAGCAUGCUCUUUCUUCCUGGUGACAGCCCAUAAGAUAUUUGAAGAUGGCUUUCAUAUUUCCUCUUAGUCUCCUCUUCUCCAGGCUUCUUCUUCUUCUUCGAUCACUCGUAGCCGAGUAAGAUUGUCUUCCAUAAACACGGUUUUAACAAUGAGUCCGUAAGUGACAGUGGAGGCCAAUUCUGGAUCCACACA